rnacentral:rRNA from 1 species
UACGUAGGCAGCAAGCGUUGUUCGGAGUUACUGGGCGUAAAGGGCGCGUAGGCGGUUGUUUAAGUUUGGUGUGAAAUCUCCCGGCUCAACUGGGAGGGUGCGCCGAAUACUGAAUGACUAGAGUGCGGGAGAGGAUAGUGGAAUUCCUGGUGUAGCGGUGAAAUGCGUAGAUAUCGGGAGGAACACCAGUGGCGAAGGCGGCGAUCUGGGAAGAUACUGACGCUGAGGUGCGAAAGCGUGGGGAGCAAACAGG